rnacentral:rRNA from 1 species
GAUGAACGCUGGCGGCGUGCUUAACACAUGCAAGUCGAACGGUGAACGAGGGAGCUUGCUCCCUCCGGAUCAGUGGCGAACGGGUGAGUAACACGUGAGCAAUCUGCCCUGGACUCUGGGAUAAGCGUUGGAAACGACGUCUAAUACCGGAUACGAGGCGUGGGGGCAUCCCCAACGCCUGGAAAGAACUUCGGUCCAGGAUGAGCUCGCGGCCUAUCAGCUAGUUGGGGAGGUAACGGCUCACCAAGGCGACGACGGGUAGCCGGCCUGAGAGGGUGACCGGCCACACUGGUACUGAGACACGGCCCAGACUCCUACGGGAGGCAGCAGUGGGGAAUAUUGCACAAUGGGCGCAAGCCUGAUGCGGCAACGCCGCGUGAGGGACGACGGCCUUCGGGUUGUAAACCUCUUUUAGCGGGGAAGAAGCGAAAGUGACGGUACCUGCAGAAAAAGCACCGGCUAACUACGUGCCAGCCGCCGCCGUAACAC